rnacentral:rRNA from 1 species
UACGUAGGGAGCAAGCGUUGUCCGGAAUCAUUGGGCGUAAAGCGCGUGUAGGCGGCUUGGUAAGUCUGCUCUGAAAGCCCGGGGCUCAACCCCGGGAGGCGGGUGGAUACUGCUGAGCUCGAGUCCGGAAGAGGCGAGUGGAAUUCCUGGUGUAGCGGUGAAAUGCGCAGAUAUCAGGAGGAACACCAUGGCGAAGGCAGCUCGCUGGGACGUGAC